rnacentral:rRNA from 1 species
UACGAAGGGGGCUAGCGUUGUUCGGAAUUACUGGGCGUAAAGGGCGCGUAGGCGGCUCUGAUCGUCGGAUGUGAAAGGCCUGGGCUCAACCUGGGAAUGGCAUCCGAUACGGCGGGGCUGGAGUGUGGGAGAGGUUGGUGGAAUUCCCAGUGUAGAGGUGAAAUUCGUAGAUAUUAGGAAGAACACCAGUGGCGAAGGCGGCUCACUGGUCCGGUACUGACGCUGAGGUGCGAAAGCGUGGGGAGCAAACAGG